rnacentral:rRNA from 1 species
CAGUCGCCACGGGAAUACGUAGGUGGCAAGCGUUGUCCGGAAUUAUUGGGCGUAAAGCGCGCGCAGGCGGAUCAGUCAGUCUGUCUUAAAAGUUCGGGGCUUAACCCCGUGAUGGGAUGGAAACUGCUGAUCUAGAGUAUCGGAGAGGAAAGUGGAAUUCCUAGUGUAGCGGUGAAAUGCGUAGAUAUUAGGAGGAACACCGGCGGCGAAGGCGGCUUUCUGGAUUGUAACUGACGCUGAGGCUCGAAAGCGUGGGGAGCAAACAGGAUUAGAGACCCCAGUAGUCCCUGUCUCUUAUACA